GUAGUCCACGCCGUAAACGAUGAACACUAGGUUUUGACUCCGUCAACGGGUCAGAGCCGCAGCUAACGCGUUAAGUGUUCCGCCUGGGGAAUACGGUCGCAAGACUGAAACUCAAAGGAAUUGACGGGGGCCCGCACAAGCGGUGGAGCAUGUGGUUUAAUUCGACGCAACGCGAAGAACCUUACCAGGGCUUGACAUGGGAAGGACCGGACGAGAGAUCGUCCUUUCUCCGCAAGGGGACCUUCCACACAGGUGCUGCAUGGCUGUCGUCAGCUCGUGUCGUGAGAUGUUGGGUUAAGUCCCGCAACGAGCGCAACCCCCGUUUCUAGUUGCCAGCAUUCAGUUGGGCACUCUAGAGAGACUGCCGCGAAUAACGCGGA
rnacentral:rRNA from 1 species